rnacentral:lncRNA from 1 species
UUGUUUGGUGCUAUGUUAAUGAAUUUCAUGCAAUUGCAGGUGAUACUAUAUGCUGCUUUCGCCAUGACUCUGAUAUUUCCCUUUCAUAAAAGUUUAGCCUAAAUGACAGCACCAAUUAUGUUGCCUCACAUACGUAUUGGAUUCAGAGGAUACAUAAAAAUCAAAUAUGAUUCACUAUACACAGGAAAAAACAAAACAGGGA